rnacentral:rRNA from 1 species
UUGCACGCUGGCGGCAUGCCUUACACAUGCAAGUCGAACGGUAACGGGCCUUCGGGUGCCGACGAGUGGCGAACGGGUGAGUAAUACAUCGCAACGUGCCCGAUCGUGGGGGAUAACGAGGCGAAAGCUUUGCUAAUACCGCAUACGAUCUACGGAUGAAAGCAGGGGACCGCAAGGCCUUGCGCGGACGGAGCGGCCGAUGGCAGAUUAGGUAGUUGGUGGGAUAAAAGCUUACCAAGCCGACGAUCUGUAGCUGGUCUGAGAGGAUGAUCAGCCACACUGGGACUGAGACACGGCCCAGACUCCUACGGGAGGCAGCAGUGGGGAAUUUUGGACAAUGGGCGCAAGCCUGAUCCAGCCAUGCCGCGUGCAGGAUGAAGGCCUUCGGGUUGUAAACUGCUUUUGUACGGAACGAAAAGCCUUCUUUUAAUACAGGAGGGUCAUGACGGUACCGUAAGAAUAAGCACCGGCUAACUACGUG